rnacentral:rRNA from 1 species
AUUGAACGCUGGCGGCAGGCUUAACACAUGCAAGUCGAGCGAGCGGCGGACGGGUGAGUGAUGUCUGGGAAACUGCCUGAUGGAGGGGGAUGACUACUGGAAAAGGUAGCUAAUACCGCAUACCAUCAGAUGGGCCGAGAUGGGAUUAGCUAGUAGGUGGGGUAAUGGCUCACCUAGGCGACGAUCCCUAGCUGGUCUGAGAGGAUGACCAGCCACACUGGAACUGAGACACGGUCCAGACUCCUACGGGAGGCAGCAGUGGGGAAUAUUGCGCAAUGGGCGCAAGCCUGAUGCAGCCAUGCCGCGUGUGUGAAGAAGGCCUUCGGGUUGUAAAGCACUUUCAGCGAGGAGGCGUUAUUCACCGAAGAAGCACCGGCUAACUCCGUGCCAGCAGCCGCGGUAAUUC